rnacentral:lncRNA from 1 species
ACAAAGGACAGGUGGCCAGGUCAGGCCAGGAGACCAGCAGGCACUGUGGUCCUGUGGGAGGCCCAAGGCCCUGCAGACCAGGGCUGGACAACCUGGCCAGCUGCCCUCCCCUUGUCUCCAAGACCCCAAAUGAGCAGGGAAGACUCUUCAGGUCUCGACGCCACUGUCACACGUUCUUCCAACAGUUCCUGCGCCUCACCUGAACCCUACCCAGUGCCACUGAUGGACACAGGCAUAAAGUCCUGUCAAACCCAGCCUCUGGGGCCGCGGACGGCUCAGGUGGAACAAGGUUUCCUCCAGCUCCCGGCUGACCGGUGGGCCCAGCCCCUUCUGCAGAGGGAGCUGGCUCUGCACACCCACCUGCUCCAGCCCAGGAGCUCACUGGGCGGGCUGGUGCCACUGCUUGAACGUGAUGCUGUUCCUGCUGGACAUGCAGCUGCUUGGCCCGUUGCUGGGCUUCAAAGAGGCUGCUCUCCAGAGAGUCCCUCUCCAGCCUGCAGAGAAGCAUCGGGCACAUCACCCAGGAGCUCCUGCCAAUGAGGAGUGGCUCUGAGCCGAGGCCAGGCCAGCAGAUCAGCAGAACAGGGCUCCUUCGUUCCAAAUUUCUAAGAAUGAAUUGGACCCUAACAAAACUGUUUCAGGUGGAAUAAAAAGUCAAAUGCAGAAACAAAGAACAUUUACUAAGUCAUAGCAAAACAACUCAGAACCAAAAAAAAAUGGUAGGAAAAAACCUAAAGGGUACUUUGUAUUCUUCUUAAGCAAGACCUGAAAACCAGAAGGGAAAGAAAGUCCAGCAGAUCUGAAGAGAGGGACGGGGAGUAUUCCUGUAGAAAAGAGUUCAUAAAUCAACUUAAAAGACGAGGAACAGAUUGGA